GACAGAGGGGGCAAGCGUUGCUCGGAAUCACUGGGCGUAAAGGGCGCGUAGGCGGGAUGGCAAGUCAGUCGUGAAAUCUCUCGGCUCAACCGAGAAACGUCGGCUGAUACUGCCGUUCUUGAGGGAUGCAGAGGAGACUGGAAUUCCCGGUGUAGCGGUGAAAAUGUGUAGAGAUCGGGAGGAACACCGGUGCGAGGACGGGUCGC
rnacentral:rRNA from 1 species